UACGAAAGGAUCAAGUGUUAUCCGUACUGAUUGGGCGUAAAGGGUAAUUAGACGGCUGAAGUAAUUUUUUUUGUGAAAGAUUAAUUUAAUUUUUAAAACACACUUUUAGAAAAACUUUAGCUAGAGUUAAAAUAUGGGUAGCAAGAAAUUUAUUCCUAGUAGUAAAAUGCAUAGAGUAAUAAAAAGAAUGUCAGGGGCGAAGGCGUGCUACUAGAUUUACACUGACGUUGUUAGACGAAGGCUAGGGUAGCAAACAGG
rnacentral:rRNA from 1 species